CCUACGGGAGGCAGCAGUAAGGAAUAUUGGUCAAUGGAGGCAACUCUGAACCAGCCAUGCCGCGUGCAGGAAGAAGGCCCUAUGGGUCGUAAACUGCUUUUGUACCAGAGAAAACCCGAGUACGUGUACUCGGUUGAUAGUAUGGUAAGAAUAAGCAUCGGCUAACUUCGUGCCAGCAGCCGCGGUAAGACGAAGGAUGCAAGCGUUAUCCGGAUUCAUUGGGUUUAAAGGGUGCGUAGGCGGACUGAUAAGUCAGUGGUGAAAUCUCUCAGCUUAACUGAGAAACUGCCAUUGAUACUGUUAGUCUAGAGUAUAGAUGACGUUGGCGGAAUAUGACAUGUAGUGGUGAAAUACUUAGAUAUGUCAUAGAACACCGAUUGCGAAGGCAGCUAACGAAACUAUAACUGACGCUGAGGCACGAAAGUGCGGGGAUCAAACAGGAUUAGAUACCCUGGUAGUCCGCACCGUAAACGAUAGAUUACUCGUUGUUGGCAAUAUGACCGUCAGCGACCAAGCGAAAGCGAUAAGUAAUCCACCUGGGGAGUACGCCGGCGAACGGUGAAACUCAAAGGAAUUGACGGCGNGAGAGNGCGACGGACGACGACGAGGGAGGAGG
rnacentral:rRNA from 1 species